AUGGACCCUCCCUAAGUCACACCCUAGACCUGAUUGACAGAUGUGCCGCUUGAAGAGGUGAACCCCAGCCCCUGGCUCCCGGCUCCCCAUUGGCACAGCUCUGACCCUUGUGGCCAUUUGGGGCGUGAAGCAACGGAAGGCAGACCUUUCUCCCUGUCUCUUCUUCUCACUGUCUGCAGCUCUACCUCUCCAAGAAUUCAAUAACAACAUCCUCAAACAACGAUUUAUGUUAUUUUAUUUUACUUUAUUUUAUUGGAAAGACCAGUGCCCAUAUGGGCUGUUGGCGCUGCAGGCUGGAGGUUGAACCCGCUGUGCUACAGCGCCGGCCCCAAUCAAUCCAAUCUUUAAAAAUGAAAAGACAAUCAUCAUUCUGCAAAAACAUCCUAAGAAAGCGAGGAGGUGGUAUGUUAAUUAGCGUGACUGUGGUGGUCACAAGAAAAUCAAUCUUUUCAAAAAACACUUUUUGGUACAGAUGUGUUGAUGGAUUGGAAAGGCAGAGUUCCAGCCGCGGCCCUGGCUUGCGCGUUGUCUACGAUGGCGCCCCCUGGCGCUCCACGGUGGCGGCGACCCCGGACUCUCUGGUGGCAGCUGGGGGCCAAGGUCGCGGCCAGGUCACCAGGCCCACCUGACUGCCCUCAGGAACCCCAUAAAUCCUCUUCUUUAAGCACUUCAAAAACAUCUAAGUUCACCACUACAAAACGUCCACAAUCUACAGAAAACCAACCUCCAGGCUGUGAUGCCUCCGACCAGCCCAGAGAUCUCCCCAAAAUCCCAACACGUUUAGUUUUGCAAAGAAUGAGGCAGAGGAGUGGUCCCUUCAGGGCUGUCUCCAGGUCGCCGGCAGGGGCUCCUACAUGCUUCAUUCUUUUUUUCUUCUUUCUUUUUUCUAGGACUGGGAAAAUUUGGCCCUUGAAGUCUGGGGGUUCAGAUAUCUGCUAGUCGUCGGGCUCGUCGUCAUCGAACAAGCCGUACAUGCGCACCAGCUCCCCGAUGUCAUGGGGCAACGAAGCCCAGGGCGCUGAGGAGUCCAGAUGGAUAUUUUGCAGAUCGGCGGGCAGCGGGUCUUCGGCAGCCUCGGGGCCAUGCGCCUGGGAGCUCUCAGGGCCGUGAUCUUCCUGCGAAGGACUGGGAAAAUUUGGCCCUUGAAGUCUGGGGGUUCAGAUAUCUGCUAGUCGUCGGGCUCGUCGUCAUCGAACAAGCCGUACAUGCGCACCAGCUCCCCGAUGUCAUGGGGCAACGAAGCCCAGGGCGCUGAGGAGUCCAGAUGGAUAUUUUGCAGAUCGGCGGGCAGCGGGUCUUCGGCAGCCUCGGGGCCAUGCGCCUGGGAGCUCUCAGGGCCGUGAUCUUCCUGCGAAGGACUGGGAAAAUUUGGCCCUUGAAGUCUGGGGGUUCAGAUAUCUGCUAGUCGUCGGGCUCGUCGUCAUCGAACAAGCCGUACAUGCGCACCAGCUCCCCGAUGUCAUGGGGCAACGAAGCCCAGGGCGCUGAGGAGUCCAGAUGGAUAUUUUGCAGAUCGGCGGGCAGCGGGUCUUCGGCAGCCUCGGGGCCAUGCGCCUGGGAGCUCUCAGGGCCGUGAUCUUCCUGCGAAGGACUGGGAAAAUUUGGCCCUUGAAGUCUGGGGGUUCAGAUAUCUGCUAGUCGUCGGGCUCGUCGUCAUCGAACAAGCCGUACAUGCGCACCAGCUCCCCGAUGUCAUGGGGCAACGAAGCCCAGGGCGCUGAGGAG